UGGAUAAGAAUGUGUUUUUUCAAUUCUUCUUCUCCAUUGGCCUUAAAUGGACAAAACCAAAUCUUGAAAACAGGGGCUAGAGACACAAAGCGACUCGCAAACAAAAAGCCUGUAGAAGUGUGUGAAUUACAUUACUGUAUUCAUACUCAUUCGCUGCGUAUAAAAGUAUUAAUUAAAGUAAAUUCAGAAUCCAAGUGCAUUGUCAUUGCUUCACAACAGUAUAAUUAUUUCUUGAGGUGGCCACCAACUGUUUGAAGAAAUGCCUGAACGAUGGUUUCACUCAUUUCGACACCGACCCUUUUGAGUUUUUCACCUAUUCCAACUCCAAUAGUCAGAAAUUCCCAAAAAAGACUUCAUUGCAGAAGAAAAGCUGCCAUUUUUAAUCUUGUAUUGGGAAAAAAUAUGGGGUCUUUUCAGGUUUUCAAGAAGCUUAGCAAGAAAAGAGUUGGAGAUAGUUCAUAUUGCUUGUGUAGGAAAGGGUUGGGAAGUGAAGGGGAUAUGGAGCUGGAAGAGGAAAUUUUGGCUUUCAUGGAGAUAUCUGAGAACCCAAAUGUUUUUCCAACAAGGAAAGAAUUGGAAAAAGCUGGAAGAGUGGAUUUGGUGGAAGCUAUAAAGAAAAGAGGAGGAUGGUUUUCGUUUGGUUGGGACUCUGAGGAUGAUGACACUAACACUAACACUGAGAAUGUUAAUGUUAAUGAGGUUGAGACUGUGGAAAUGGAUUUUUACAUUGAUGAGUUUCAUGAAAGAGUCAAGAGUUGUCAAGAGAGUGAUUUAUUACAUGAGAAUGAAGCUCAUUUUUCUGGUUCUGGAGAUUCUAGUUCUUCUCAGCCCGCCUCGUCCUCUGGUAGAUCGAUAGAAACUGUAGCAGAGGAAAAUAGCGGGAUCGAAGGAAUAUUGAGUCGAUUAGAAAAAGAGAGGAACUCAUCUCUUGGUAUUGAUCUGGGAAAGCCUGGACGUACUUCUCAUACAUCAAGUAGGGACAACAUAGAUGACAGAAGCUUUGGAACCUCUGAUGCAGACAGGACUGACCUACGGAAAAAUGAUAGCCUGAGUAAAGGUAGCUCCAUGAAAGACAUUCAAAGUGACGAGGAGAUUUACCGCAGCGUUUCACCGGCCAGGUGGAGAAAAUGGAGCAUACAACGUGCAGGCCUUCAGGAUAUAGAUUUUGAAGCUGAUGAGGUUGCUCUGGGUAAAAGUUGGAUUGGAAGUACCAGCGAAGCUUCGGGAGAAGAUGUAGUUAAUAUCACUGCGAGUAGAUUUGAAGCUUUACAAAGAUCAAAAAAUGGCAACAACAAUGAGAUGAGCACUCGUCUUAAACAUUUAGAGCUUGAGCUAUCCAUGACACUCCGCUCAUUGAAAUCCAAGAGUGAGGAGUUCAGUUCAAAGGAGGUUUUCGGAAGCUCCCCAAGUGAUUCUGAUGCAUGGGAGUUUCAAGAGAAUGAAUUCAUGAAUGCCCGGGAGAGAUUGAGGUUGAUUCGUGCAAAGCUGGCUGUGCUUGAGGGGAAAAUGACUCUUGCAAUGAUUGAUGCGCAGAAGAUGUUAGACGAGAAGCAGAAGAUGAUUGAUAGGUCUAGUAAAGCUUUGCAGCUUCUUCGUACUGCUCGGAUUGUUUGGACCAACUCCGCCUCAGAGGUUCUUCUAGCAGGUUCUUUUGAUGGAUGGACAACUCAGAAAGUCACUUGGAAAUUAGGAGAGGAACCGGUUUUGUGUGCGCCAUCAAGUCGAUUUUACUAAGGUUGUUUCUAAAGCAUCAAAUGUCUUGAACAGUGAUGUCUCGGUGGUCUCUUAAUAAUGAAAACUGCACAUCUCUAUUUCCCCUUUCCCCUAAAGGCCUUGUACGACCUUCGUGAUGUUGAUUUCAAGGAGUUUCUUGACCUUGACUAGCAGCAUGACACGAUGCAUUGAAAUGCAGAGAAAGAUGGAAAAAUCGAGCACGGGUGUUUUUUCUGUAAGCCUAAAGCUGUAUCCAGGCAGAUAUGAGAUCAAGUUCGUUGUUGAUGGCAUAUGGAAGAUUGAUCCUUUGAGGCCUAUUGUUCACAGCGAUGGACACGAAAACAAUCUUUUCAUUGUUACAUAAGAGCAUGUCCCUACAAAGUUACUUCAGAAUGUGAAAGAUCAACAGAUUCUCUGUGGUUAAGGGACUUCAAAUUUUACUCUCUUGGAAGCUCUACCAAGCGGCGAUGGUUGCUUCUUGACAAUUAUUUGAUCAUUUAGUCUUGGGUUCCAUGUAAAAUUUUGUAGUCCUUUCCACACCUUUCUUUGACUACUAUCCAAUACAGGUUCGUUACCUGGCGAUACAAAGAUGUCUGAGUUAAAACUCGAUCAUCGUUUUAGUAAAAGAAAGUUGAAAUCCUUUGGUACUUUUGGUCUAUCUAAUAUAUUCAGUUGGUUUGUUUACAUA